rfam:Nitratireductor basaltis strain TMTGB225 contig000001, whole genome shotgun sequence.
UGCCGGUUGUCCAUAAACCGGGGUUACUGAAGAGGCACACCUUCAUUGCCGGCAGUGCGGAGGGUUUUCCCAUCCAAAGCUGAGGCAGACAGAGCGGAUUUUCGCUUCUCGCAAGCGGUGAUCCAACGCGGUGCGUCAUGGCACCAUGGC